GAAGAAAACUGGGGGCGUGCUUCUCACAUGUGCGAUUAAAAGAAAAGCCCCCUUGCUGGGGACUCGAGGGGCCAACGCGCGAGUAAUAACGUGAGCAUUGCUACACUUGACUUUGGGAUAACUUCUGGAAACUGGGGAUAACAACGGAUAUCAGAUCCUGCUGCAUGGAGGGAUGAGGAAAGUUACGAUUGUUGGGGAUGGACUCUAGGCUUAUCACCUUGUUAGUGGCUUAGUGUGGUCCCAAAGCUUUGACGGCUAGCCGGGCAUGAAAGGGCGACCGCGCCCUCCUGGGACUGACAUACGGGCCAAACUCCUACAGGAGGGAGAAAUGCGGAACAUUGCAUAAUGGGCGGAAGACUGAUGCACCACCGCCGCUUGCGGGAUGACGGCUUUCGGGUGGUAAACCCGUUUCCGCCUUUGCCGAAGCCUGAGUCCCGGUAAUGGUAAAAGAAGCACCGGGCUAAUUACGUGCCAGCCGCCGCGGUGAUACGUAGGGUGCGAGCGUGUUCCGGAUUUAUGGGGCGUAAAGGGCUCGUAGGUGGUUGAUCGCGUCGGAAGUGAAAUCUUGGGGCUUAACCCUGAGCGUGCUUUCGAUACGGGUUGACUUGAGGAAGGUAGGGGAGAAUGGAAUUCCUGGUGGAGCGGUGGAAUGCGCAGAUAUCAGGAGGAACACCAGUGGCGAAGGCGGUUCUCUGGACCUUUCCUGACGCUGAGGAGCGAAAGCGUGGGGAGCGAACAGGCUUAGAUACCCUGGUAGUCCACGCUGUAAACGGUGGGUACUAGGUGUGGGGUCCAUUCCACGGAUUCCGUGCCGUAGCUAACGCUUUAAGUACCCCGCCUGGGGAGUACGGCCGCAAGGCUAAAACUCAAAGGAAUUGACGGGGCCCCGCACAAGCGGCGGAGCAUGCGGAUUAAUUCGAUGCAACGCGAAGAACCUUACCUGGGUUUGACAUGGAUCAGGAGUGCUCAGAGAUGGGUAUGCCUCUUUUGGGGUUGGUUCACAGGUGGUGCAUGGCUGUCGUCAGCUCGUGUCGUGAGAUGUUGGGUUAAGUCCCGCAACGAGCGCAACCCUCGUUCACUGUUGCCAGCACGUUAUGGUGGGGACUCAGUGGAGACCGCCGGGGUCAACUCGGAGGAAGGUGGGGAUGACGUCAAGUCAUCAUGCCCCUUAUGUCCAGGGCUUCACGCAUGCUACAAUGGCCGGUACAAAGAGUUGCGAGCCUGUGAGGGUGAGCGAAUCUCGGAAAGCCGGUCUCAGUUCGGAUUGGGGUCUGCAACUCGACCUCAUGAAGUCGGAGUCGCUAGUAAUCGCAGAUCAGCAACGCUGCGGUGAAUACGUUCCCGGGGCU
rnacentral:rRNA from 1 species